rnacentral:rRNA from 1 species
CCUACGGGUGGCAGCAGUGGGGAAUAUUGGGCAAUGGGCGCAAGCCUGACCCAGCAACGCCGCGUGAAGGAAGAAGGCCUUCGGGUUGUAAACUUCUUUUAAGAGGGAAGAGCAGAAGACGGUACCUCUUGAAUAAGCCACGCCUAACUACGUGCCAGCAGCCGCGGCAAUACGGAGGUGGCAAGCGUUGUGCGGAUUUACUGGGUGUAAAGGGCGUGCAGCCGGGAAGACAAGUCAGAUGUGAAAUCCCGCGGCUCAACCGCGGAACUGCAGUUGAAACUGGUUUUCUUGAGUACCGGAGAGGUCAGCGGAAUGCCUGGUGUAGCGGUGAAAUGCGUAGAUAUAAGGCAGAACACCAGUGGCGAAGGCGGAUGACUGGACGGCAACUGACGGUGAGGCGCGAAAGCGUGGGGAGCAAACAGGAUUAGAUACCCUUGUAGUC